AUUGAACGCUGGCGGCAGGCCUAACACAUGCAAGUCGAACGGUAACAGGAAGACGCUUGCUUCUUUGCUGACGAGUGGCGGACGGGUGAGUAAUGUCUGGGAAACUGCCUGAUGGAGGGGGAUAACUACUGGAAACGGUAGCUAAUACCGCAUAACGUCGCAAGACCAAAGAGGGGGACUUUCGGGCCUCUUGCCAUCGGAUGUGCCCAGAUGGGAUUAGCUAGUAGGUGGGGUAACGGCUCACCUAGGCGACGAUCCCUAGCUGGUCUGAGAGGAUGACCAGCCACACUGGAACUGAGACACGGUCCAGACUCCUGCGGGACGCAGCAGUGGGGAAUAUUGCACAAUGGGCGCAAGCCUGAUGCAGCCAUGCCGCGUGUAUGAAGAAGGCCUUCGGGUUGUAAAGUACUUUCAGCGGGGAGGAAGGGAGUAAAGUUAAUACCUUGGCUCAUUGACGUUACCCGCAGAAGAAGCACCGGCUAACUCCGUG
rnacentral:rRNA from 1 species